ACUCCUAAACAAGGUUAAAAUCCAAACAUCCUGACUCUGUUUUCCUCUGCCCAAAGACUUGGCACUGAUGAUAGAAGGAUCCCAGCUUAGUCGAACAGGCUGAAGCCCAUGUCCUGCAAAGGCAUAUCGAACAAAACAAUUAGUUGUUGAACCAAGUUUGAUAAAAGCCACACUCUUACUAUAGCCCCUAGAACAGCAAGACUAGAUGGUAUAUGGAAUGACACAAAAUUUGCGUAAAGGCGAGGCAUUUGCUACAAGAGAACAUAUGAAAGAUACGUCAACAUAGGCAAUAAAAAUCAGGCAUUACUACAAGAUAACAUAUGAAAGCCUUUUGUGUACCACCUGAUCGUAGCAUUCUAACAGGAAGCAUAAUGGAUACUAAAACAAACAUGGGCAAUAAAAAUGAGCUUACAUCAUCACUCUCUUCCUUCUCCUCCACCUUCUCUUCCUUCUUAGCCUCAGCCGCAGGAGCAGCACCACCACCAGCAGGAGCAGCAGCCGCAACAGCAACACCACCGCCGCCGCAUGGGACUGAAGCAAACUUCUCCCUACCGGCAGCAAUGAGCUCAGUGAUGUCCUUACCACUCAGCUGGGACAGCAGUAGCUCCAUCUUUUCAUUGUCAACCUCAGCACCAACUGCCACAUAAGAAACAAGAUUAAAUGUGCCAUCUACAUAUUACAGAAUGCACAUGUAGCUUUAAACCAUAUAAUACUUGAUCUAUAUCGGAAUGAAUGCACAACUCGAAACAACAUGAAAAAAAUAAUAAUUAGUGCUCAGGCCAUUUCCAGUUUAACAAUAUAAAGGUCACUACAAAUGGACAAGGCUACCCUAUUUCCAAAAUUGAUGACUUAACAGACAAGCUCAAUUAACAGUAACAAGUUCUUCAAACCAGCAAUUAGCUAUAUGUUAUUACCUGACUCCAGAAUAGUCGUCAGGUCCUCCGCAGAGGGGCUGUUGUUGCCAGCAAGGACAGCAAGCAGAUAGGCAGCAACGAACUUCAUCCUG
rnacentral:lncRNA from 1 species